rnacentral:rRNA from 1 species
CCUAGUGGCGAACGGGUGAGUAACGCGUUGGUGACCUGCCCCAAAGAGCGGGAUAACAGUCCGAAAGGACUGCUAAUACCGCAUGUGGUUAUCGAGUUUAGAGGCUCGAUAAUUAAAGGGAGCAAUCCGCUUUGGGAGGGGCCUGCGUCCCAUCAGCUAGUUGGUAGGGUAAUGGCCUACCAAGGCGAUGACGGGUAGGGGACCUGAGAGGGUGGCCCCCCACAAUGGAACUGAAACACGGUCCAUACACCUACGGGUGGCAGCAGUUGGGAAUAUUGCUUAAUGGGCGAAAGCCUGAAGCAGCAACGCCGCGUGUGCGAUGAAGGCCUUCGGGUUGUAAAGCACUUUUUGGAGGGAUGAGGAAGGACAGUACCUCCAGAAUAAGCCUCGGCUAACUACGUGCCAGCAGCCGCGGUAACACGUAGGAGGCAAGCGUUAUCCGGAUUUACUGGGCGUAAAGCGCGUGCAGGCGGUUCGGAAAGUUGGAUGUGAAAGCUCCUGGCUUAACUGGGAGAGGUCGUUCAAUACUUCUGGACUAGAGUAUGGGAGAGGGAGGUGGAAUUCCGGGUGUAGUGGUGAAAUGCGUAGAUAUCCGGAGGAACACCAGUGGCGAAAGCGGCCUCCUGGCCCAAAACUGACGCUCAGACGCGAAAGCUAGGGUAGCAAACGGGAUUAGAGACCCCGGUAGUCCUAGCCGUAAACGAUGCGAACUUGGCGUUGGCGGGUUUAAAUCCGUCAGUGCCGAAGCUAACGCGAUAAGUUCGCCGCCUGGGGACUACGGCCGCAAGGUUAAAACUCAAAGGAAUUGACGGGGGCCCGCACAAGCAGCGGAGCGUGUGGUUUAAUUCGAUGCUACACGAAGAACCUUACCAGGGUUUGACAUGCAGGUGGGUAGGGAUCCGAAAAGGUGACCGACCCUUCCGGGAAGCCUGCACAGGUGCUGCAUGGGUUGUCGUCAGCUUC